UACAGAGGUCUCAAGCGUUGUUCGGAUUCAUUGGGCGUAAAGGGCGCGUAGGUGGCGCGGCAAGUCAACGGUGAAAGCUCGACGCUCAACGUCGAGUCGGCCGUCGAUACUGCCGCGCUGGAGCACUGUAGAGGCUCAUGGAAUUCCGGGUGUAGCGGUGGAAUGCGUAGAGAUCCGGAAGAACACCGGUGGCGAAGGCGGUGAGCUGGGCAGUUGCUGACACUGAGGCGCGACAGCGUGGGGAGCAAACAGG
rnacentral:rRNA from 1 species